rnacentral:snRNA from 1 species
UUUGAUUACGGUUCCGUUUU